rnacentral:rRNA from 1 species
AUUGAACGCUGGCGGCAUGCCUUACACAUGCAAGUCGAACGGCAGCACGGGAGCAAUCCUGGUGGCGAGUGGCGAACGGGUGAGUAAUAUAUCGGAACGUGCCCAGUCGUGGGGGAUAACGCAGCGAAAGCUGUGCUAAUACCGCAUACGAUCUACGGAUGAAAGCGGGGGAUCGCAAGACCUCGCGCGAUUGGAGCGGCCGAUAUCAGAUUAGCUAGUUGGUGAGGUAAAGGCUCACCAAGGCGACGAUCUGUAGCUGGUCUGAGAGGACGACCAGCCACACUGGAACUGAGACACGGUCCAGACUCCUACGGGGGGCAGCAGUGGGGAAUUUUGGACAAUGGGCGAAAGCCUGAUUCAGCAAUGCCGCGUGCAGGAUGAAGGCCUUCGGGUUGUAAACUGCUUUUGUACGGAACGAAACGGUGAGCUCUAAUACAGUUUGCUAAUGACGGUACCGUAAGAAUAAGCACCGGCUAACUACGUGCCAGCAGCCGCCGUAA